rnacentral:tRNA from 1 species
CCCACUAUAGUUUAUUAAAAUAUCGAAGUGCAAAUUCGAAGUUGAAAUAUAAUUUCUAGUGAGU